GGAAGGGCCAUAGCUCAGUGGCCGAGCAGCUGUUUUAAACACAGAAGGUUCCAUGUUCAAUCCCUGGCGUCUCUCCA